UUGUCAAACUGCAAUUACGUGACACUCAAAGCAGAAUUUUGGCUGAUUUGCCGACUUUGAGACUCAGAAAC